rnacentral:lncRNA from 1 species
GCUCCUUGACUUAGAUCUGGACUCCUUCAAGAUCUAGAAGAAGAAAAUCUGCUGCACAAACCCUUCGCAUUGAUUUGACGGGAUUUGUUCAAGACCACCAAGAAGAGAAGAAAAACUAUUUUUCUUCUCUUCCUCUCUCUCUAAUCUCUAUCUCUCAAAUCCUAUCUAGAGGGAGAUGGGGCAUUGGGAUGUGAAGGAGGAAGGGGGGAGGG